AUGGUCACACUAUUAAUACUCAGCUUGGUGAUAGUGCACAGGAGUCUCAUAAGAGAAGACCUCAGGGACUACAGAUGCCACGUGGGAAGCGCCUGGGCAGCCGGCCGCACGCGAAACCUGGAUGUCUUCCUGCAAGCCCCUGGGAUAGCUGAAACCAGAGGGACAUUAAGCAGAAACCAUAAAGUCACAUUUCUGGAAUGCUUUAGUCAUCAAAGCUCUGUGCAAGUAAAUCUGCUGCACCUGGAGAAGAUGCACGGAGAUCUGACAGAGUGGGUAGCGGAGGAAUGCACUGUGGAGAGCCUGCAGGUCAUCCCCAGCACAGCCGGGACACCCAACCACACCUGUGUCUUACGCACGUCCACGAGAAGGCACUUCCAUAGAAGAUUUAUUUUCAGAAGCAAAGUGUUCCUGGCAGUGAUUUCAAAUCACACCGUAACAGCAACACCACCCAAGCAGAAAGCUUUUUCCAAUGGCUCAUCUACCCCACAUGUGCGCUCAGAGCAGCAGACUUCCCAAGAGAAAAUUCCAUCUGCAAAUGGCAAAGAUUCGCUGGUCAGACAAAAUAUAAGUAUCUUCAUGAAAGCGUUCAUCGUCUGCAUCCUGUUAGCGCCCAUGAUAUGCUAUACCAUAUUUUUCAUACAUGAAAUAAGCCACUUGUGUUCGUGCCCUGACUGGAUCGGCAGCAGAUGGAGCAGAAGCAAAUGCAUAUCUGCAGCCCCCACCCCAGUGGAUCACCAGUCAGGAACACUCUCAGCCCAGCUACCUGAGGACAGAAAGAAGUCAGUGCUAUGUUUUGCCUGACUCUCAGAAUCCCUUCCACAGAUCCUUACAUGAGAAGAUCCCAAAUUAUUGUCAUCCACAAAACCUACUUAAGAAAUGCUGCAGGCCUUAGAGAAACACUGUUUUUACAAACAAAAAAAAAAGCAUCAUCUUCCUCCUCACCACUUACUGGGAACAGCAGAUUGAACAUCAGCAGCUUAAAUAACCACAGCUU
ensembl:lncRNA